rnacentral:sRNA from 1 species
CAGUUGCGUACAACGCAGAUCUAACAUGUCCACACAAAUAUUCAUAUCUAGAUCUAUACAUACCUGAUUAAUAAAAGACUUGAACUUUCACGUUUGCCACAUAAAAUUGUGUAUAGUGAACAGAGCUUUGCCAUACAAGUCCGGAUGUUUUUAUCUUAAGGUACAAUGGACGCCACUACCGCGCCAUCAACUGCAGCAACAGCAUCACACACAGAUGUGAAGGAAAUUGCUAAGCUUAAAGAAGAAAAUGAUCGAUCCAAACGAGUAAUACAGCUCCAAGGUGAUGAACUUAAAAAAGUCAAAAACGAAAACUGUAAGUAAAAA